rnacentral:rRNA from 1 species
UGAGUAAUGUCUGGGAAACUGCCUGAUGGAGGGGGAUAACUACUGGAAACGGUAGCUAAUACCGCAUAACGUCUUCGGACCAAAGUGGGGGACCUUCGGGCCUCAUGCCAUCAGAUGUGCCCAGAUGGGAUUAGCUAGUAGGUGGGGUAAUGGCUCACCUAGGCGACGAUCCCUAGCUGGUCUGAGAGGAUGACCAGCCACACUGGAACUGAGACACGGUCCAGACUCCUACGGGGGGCAGCAGUGGGGAAUAUUGCACAAUGGGCGCAAGCCUGAUGCAGCCAUGCCGCGUGUAUGAAGAAGGCCUUCGGGUUGUAAAGUACUUUCAGCGAGGAGGAAGGCAUUAAGGUUAAUAACCUUAGUGAUUGACGUUACUCGCAGAAGAAGCACCGGCUAACUCCGUGCCAGCAGCCGCGGUAAUACGGAGGGUGCAAGCGUUAAUCGGAAUUACUGGGCGUAAAGCGCACGUAGGCGGUCUGUCAAGUCGGAUGUGAAAUCCCCGGG